AAUCCAUAAUAUCAUUACAAGGGCAAUACACAUAAAAGUCAGAUGUGUCAAUUUUAUUUUUAGAAACGGUUGCAGUCACAAAGUAAUUGACAGAGUAAAAUGUAAAUUUCAGCAUAUUUUUUUCACACAAAAAUGUGUUAGUGCGUAGAAAUGUGAUCAGGCUGAGCACAUGGCCUUAUGGAUUUCAUGAUUUUCGGCGCUUAACGUGAAAACAGUUAAAGCACAGGAUUCACAAACAUUAACUUUAUGCUUAAAUCUAUAUGCGAUACAUUAUGCAUAUAAUUAUAAUUCACGAUAAUAUCGCAUAUGGAAGUAACUGGAAUAAAUUUGGACUAUUUCCUUCAGAAGUUUACAGGACUGUCCUGUCAAAAGACCUCGCUCGUGUUUACAUGUUUUGACAGGUCGAGUUGUUCUGGGACUAGGAACAAUGAUGAAUGAAUACCUGCACCAUGGAAACAAUGUCAUUUGCAAACUUUUUGAACCUGUACUGGGCGUUCACAUUGACAUUUCUUGUUCAACAGGAAUACAUGAUGUCGACCAACAGUACAGCUAGAUGAAGAUAUAAAUUUAUUCAAAGAAAUAAUGGGACAAUGAAUGCUAAAUUUGCCAAGAAGAAGACUGCCAAUUUACACACCAUUUUAUACAGUUACAGUAUGAUAUGGUGAACAAAAUGCCUCAAUGCAGCCAGUUCUGGAGCUUUGGCUAGACUAUGAACAGUAGACAUCAAAAGAUGAUCAUCUGAAGGGCCACAAUUGUUUAAAGCACUGGUCAACAAAAACUGAACUAUUUGAUGGAUCAUACAUCUGCAGAAUGUACUACCAUAUUUCCAGAAUCAGAGGAAAUAGAAAUAUCAACUAUUAGAGAGAAAGAAAAGUAUGCAUCAUGUAUGAAGAACUGCCUAAGAAUAA